rnacentral:misc_RNA from 1 species
GAUGAAGAACGUAGUGAAAUGCGAUAAGUAGUGUGAAUUGCAGAAUUCAGUGAAUCAUCGAAUCUUUGAACGCACAUUGCGCCCCUUGGUAUUCCAUGGGGCAUGCCUGUUCGAGCGUCAUUUGUACCUUCAAGCUCUGCUUGGUGUUGGGUGUUUGUCUCGCCUCUGCGCGCAGACUCGCCUCAAAACAAUUGGCAGCCGGCGUAUUGAUUUCGGAGCGCAGUACAUCUCGCGCUUUGCACUCAUAACGACGACGUCCAAAAGUACAUUUUUACACUCUUGACCUCGGAUCAGGUAGGGAUACCCGCUGAACUUAAGCAUAUCAAUAAGCGGAGGA